CUGGCAGGAGCAGAUUCCAAAGGCACAGGAAGAAGCUUGCAGUACAAAGAUAAAAAUCUAAAGUGGUUGCUGUGGAGGACAGGGGUCAGUGGUGGAAGUGAGACCGAAAUAGACUCUGAAGUAAUAUCUGGACUUUGAAAUUGUUGCCUGUUCACUCUGCCUGGUCAUAUGCAGAAAACCGAAACUAGACCCCUUGCUGACACUUAUACAAAAAUUAACUCAAGAUGCAUUAAAGAUUUAAACGUGAGACCUAAAACCAGAAAAAUCCUAGAAGAAAACCUAGGCAACACCAUUGAGGACGUAAGCAUGGGCAAAGACUUCAUGACUAAAACACCAAAAGAAAUGGCAACAAAAGCCAAAAUUGACAAAAGGUUUCCUUAAUGACAACAAAAAAGGGAGUAAUCCUACCCACUGUAAGAGUCAUGACUCUUGAUUGCAGCUGACAGAAACUCAUGACAGCCUGCUUUAGAUGAAGGGGGAGAGAAGGACUGGAAGAAUCUUGGAGUUGGGAAUGUCACACGCAGCUGCUCCCAACCCCAGAACCUUUGCUGUCUUGGGACGGAUCACCGCUGCAAGAGGGGAAGUUGCUACUGUGAUGAAUUCUGCCAUGUGGCACCAGACUGCCACCCAGACCACAGUGUCCUCUGCAACCCUGGUAACUCACAUACAGGCCCGAUUCCACCUACAGCAAAGCUGGAUGCGAUGGCUGGCAGAGGCAAACCCUUUGCCUGCACUUCAGGCCAAAGCCGGGAUGUGGCCUAGAUGGUUCCUAAGGUCCCUGACAAUCCUGAGAUCUUGCAUCUUGUCUAUUUCAGGUCAAAGCUUCUCAGAUGACCAAGAUGGUGCUGCAGAUGGUGCUGAGGAUGGAGAACCCACCAAGCC
ensembl:lncRNA MUC20-OT1 MUC20 overlapping transcript